rnacentral:rRNA from 1 species
UACGUAGGUGGCAAGCGUUGUCCGGAUUUACUGGGCGUAAAGAGCGCGCAGGCGGUCGUUCAAGUCGCGUGUGAAAGCCCCCGGCUCAACUGGGGAGGGUCACGCGAUACUGAUCGACUCGAAGGCAGGAGAGGGUAGUGGAAUUCCCGGUGUAGUAGUGAAAUGCGUAGAUAUCGGGAGGAACACCAGUGGCGAAGGCGACUACCUGGCCUGUUUCUUGACGCUGAGGCGCGAAAGCUAGGGGAGCAAACGGG